AGAGUUUGAUCAUGGCUCAGGAUGAACGCUGGCGGCGUGCUUAACACAUGCAAGUCGAACGAGGCACCUUGCGGAAGUUUCGGAUGGAAGCGGAGGCGACCGAGUGGCGGACGGGUGAGUAACGCGUGGGGAACCUGCCCAUUCCGGGGGAUACCAGUUGGAAACGACUGUUAAUACCGCAUAAGCGCACGGAAGGGCAUCCUUUUGUGUGAAAAACUGAGGUGGAAUGGGAUGGCCCCGCGUCUGAUUAGCCAGUUGGCAGGGUAACGGCCUACCAAAGCGACGAUCAGUAGCCGGCCUGAGAGGGCGACCGGCCACAUUGGGACUGAGACACGGCCCAAACUCCUACGGGAGGCAGCAGUGGGGAAUAUUGCACAAUGGGGGAAACCCUGAUGCAGCCGACGCCGCGUGAGUGAAGAAGUAUUUCGGUAUGUAAAGCUCUAUCAACAGGGAAGAAGAUGACGGUACCUGCACAAGAAGCCCCGGCUAACUACGUGCCAGCCGCUGC
rnacentral:rRNA from 1 species